rnacentral:rRNA from 1 species
GACGAACGCUGGCGGCGUGCCUAAUACAUGCAAGUGGGACGCAAGGAAACACACUGUGCUUGCACACCGUGUUUUCUUGAGUCGCGAACGGGUGAGUAACGCGUAGGUAACCUGCCUAUUAGCGGGGGAUAACUAUUGGAAACGAUAGCUAAUACCGCAUAAUAUUAAUUAUUGCAUGAUAAUUGAUUGAAAGAUGCAAGCGCAUCACUAGUAGAUGGACCUGCGUUGUAUUAGCUAGUUGGUAAGGUAAGAGCUUACCAAGGCGACGAUACAUAGCCGACCUGAGAGGGUGAUCGGCCACACUGGGACUGAGACACGGCCCAGACUCCUACGGGAGGCAGCAGUAGGGAAUCUUCGGCAAUGGACGAAAGUCUGACCGAGCAACGCCGCGUGAGUGAAGAAGGUUUUCGGAUCGUAAAGCUCUGUUGUAAGUCAAGAACGUGUGUGAGAGUGGAAAGUUCACACAGUGACGGUAGCUAACCAGAAAGGGACGGCUAACUACGUG